AUUAUUAUUAUUUUUUUUUUCUUCCGCCAACUUUUUUUUCCUUCACAGUUUUUUUGUUUCGCAAGAUGUCGCUUAGACAUAUGGUACAUGAUAUCGAACAGUUAUUACGCUUUUGUAACUGACACCGUGUAACCAAAAUCUUUUCAAUGUAAGAGUUAUCUCCCCGAACACUGUUUUUCUUGUGAUCGCUUAAUAUUCGCAACCGUAUAAGAAACCGACAAAUUUAUUUUACCAAAUUGCUCAAUAUAUCCUCAGGAUGAUUUGAUUUAUUUUGACCGAAGCUAUCUGGAGACUCCAUAUGAGAGUUAUUUCCCCUUUUAUAUUUGAUAUAAGUGAGAUGCAUUUUUAACUGAAAAACCAUAAGUGUUAGAGGCCUAGGGUCUUUUGUUUUGAGGUCCUUGGUCCAAAAAAAUGAAAAUGAGGUCAAGGUCAAAGGUCAAGGUCAUGAUUAAAAUUUUGAUUUUGGCUUGCGAUCUCUUAUUUUCAGAAAUCAAAGAAGAUAUUGACAAAAUAUUUUCAUAAAAUUGUUAGUUACAACAUGUAGUAACACAUAAAUUUUAGUCGAAAGGGUACGUAGACAUUUGACGCGAGUUUUCCCCUUUUUAUAUCUAAUAUCAUACGUAUGGUAAUAUAACUCAUGAACAAUAUAAAGUAGAGGACUAGAGUCUUUUGAUUUGAGGUCCUUGGUUUAUGACCUUGAAAUUGAGCUCAAGGUCAUAUGCUAAUUAAACGUUCUAGAUUUUGACCUUUGCUUUUACCUCAUAUGUACACAUGAUAAAGCCAUGGGACUGUUUGC
rnacentral:lncRNA from 1 species